GACGAACGCUGGCGGCGUGCUUAACACAUGCAAGUCGAGCGGUAAGGCCCUUUCGGGGGUACACGAGCGGCGAACGGGUGAGUAACACGUGAGCAACCUGCCCUUCUCUUUGGAAUAAGCGUUGGAAACGACGUCUAAUGCCGAAUAUGACCCUUCACUGCAUGGUGGGGGGUGGAAAGCUCUGGCGGAGAAGGAUGGGCUCGCGGCCUAUCAGCUUGUUGGUGUGGGUAAUGGCCCACCAAGGCGACGACGGGUAGCCGGCCUGAGAGGGUGACCGGCCACACUGGGACUGAGACACGGCCCAGACUCCUACGGGAGGCAGCAGUGGGGAAUAUUGGACAAUGGGCGAAAGCCUGAUCCAGCAACGCCGCGUGAGGGAUGACGGCCUUCGGGUUGUAAACCUCUUUCAGCAGGGACGAAGCGAGAGUGACGGUACCUGCAGAAGAAGGACCGGCCAACUACGUGCCAGCCGCCGCCGUAAGAC
rnacentral:rRNA from 1 species